rnacentral:tRNA from 2 species
GUGCCUGUAGCUCAGGUGGAUAGAGCACCGGAAUGCGAGUCCGGUGGUCAGGGGUUCAAGUCCCCUCAGGCACA